rnacentral:rRNA from 1 species
GACGUAGGGGGCGAGCGUUGUCCGGAUUUAUUGGGCGUAAAGCGUGCGUAGGCGGCUGCGCAAGUCGGGUGUGAAACCCCGGGGCUCAACCCCGGAGCUGCAUCCGAUACUGCGUGGCUAGAGGUAGGUAGGGGAGAUCGGAAUUCCUGGUGUAGCGGUGAAAUGCGCAGAUAUCAGGAGGAACACCGGUGGCGAAGGCGGAUCUCUGGGCCUUACCUGACGCUCAGGCACGAAAGCUAGGGGAGCGAACAGG